GCAUGGUGGCUUAGUGGUUAGCACGUUUGCCUUGCACCUCAGGGGUUGGGGGUUCAAAUCCCAGCUGCGUGCA